CUGCACCCCAUCAUCCACUCCAAUCCAUCCUCUACAUAGUGGCUAAAUAGAUCUUUAAAGGCUCAAACCUUCCUAGACAGUAACGCCUUCCUACCUUGGCCUGCCAUUUAGGGGUCUUUCUGAUGGAAUUCCAGCUUAACUUUCCAGCCUUACAGCCCCUGUUGGUCCUAGUUCUCUCUGGCCACCAGAACACAUCUGCUUCCUCCUCCCACGAGAAACUGGGGAGAGAUGGAGACAGCACCCAAAGCCUGCUCUUCUUUAAGCUGUUUCCUCUCAACUAGGUUUUCCAUCGUGCCAUUGCUAGGCUACCUUGGCUUGGCCAAGCCCCAUCUCCUAUUGUCCCAGUGUGAAUACCAGAAGAAGCAAACAGCCUGCAGAUGGGACACCUAUUCACCCCUGAUGCAAGUGUGACUGGAGCUAUUGAGUGACUGAUGAGAUCUGUUGUAACAAUCAUUCUGGCAAAGGUGUGGAGAUGGCUCAGAGGAUUGAGCUGGGAGCAGGGUGGCCUCAGCCACAUGUGCUACCAUGGCUCUGAGCAGGGGCCUUCUUGGAUCAUUCAACCAGCAGAUGAAGAAAAAGAGGGCGAAUGGAGAAUUAUAUGUCAGAGAAUUUUAUGGAUCUUACUGGAGGGUAAAUUCAAUCCUGGUAACUUAAUUGUGGGCAAAAGUGCAAAUCUCCUGGCAUCCAAUUCUUACCAUAGAUUUCUGAUGUCUGGAAGCAUGGUGGAGCAACACACUUCUGAA
rnacentral:lncRNA from 1 species